rnacentral:rRNA from 1 species
CCUACGGGAGGCUGCAGUGAGGAAUAUUGGUCAAUGGACGAGAGUCUGAACCAGCCAAGUAGCGUGAAGGAUGACUGCCCUAUGGGUUGUAAACUUCUUUUAUAUGGGAAUAAAAUGUUCCACGUGUGGGAUUUUGUAUGUACCAUAUGAAUAAGGAUCGGCUAACUCCGUGCCAGCAGCCGCGGUAAUACGGAGGAUCCGAGCGUUAUCCGGAUUUAUUGGGUUUAAAGGGAGCGUAGGUGGAUUGUUAAGUCAGUUGUGAAAGUUUGCGGCUCAACCGUAAAAUUGCAGUUGAAACUGGCAGUCUUGAGUACAGUAGAGGUGGGCGGAAUUCGUGGUGUAGCGGUGAAAUGCUUAGAUAUCACGAAGAACUCCGAUUGCGAAGGCAGCUCACUGGACUGCAACUGACACUGAGGCUCGAAAGUGUGGGUAUCGAACAGGAUUAGAUACCCCAGUAGUC